CCUACGGGUGGCUGCAGUGGGGAAUAUUGCACAAUGGGCGCAAGCCUGAUGCAGCCAUGCCGCGUGUGUGAAGAAGGCCUUCGGGUUGUAAAGCACUUUCAGCGGGGAGGAAGGCGUUAAGGUUAAUAACCCUGUCGAUUGACGUUACCCGCAGAAGAAGCACCGGCUAACUCCGUGCCAGCAGCCGCGGUAAUACGGAGGGUGCAAGCGUUAAUCGGAAUUACUGGGCGUAAAGCGCACGCAGGCGGUCUGUCAAGUCGGAUGUGAAAUCCCCGGGCUCAACCUGGGAACUGCAUUCGAAACUGGCAGGCUAGAGUCUUGUAGAGGGGGGUAGAAUUCCAGGUGUAGCGGUGAAAUGCGUAGAGAUCUGGAGGAAUACCGGUGGCGAAGGCGGCCCCCUGGACAAAGACUGACGCUCAGGUGCGAAAGCGUGGGGAGCAAACAGGAUUAGAUACCCUAGUAGUC
rnacentral:rRNA from 1 species